ACCGGAUCAUCAUAAGUAAGGAUUACAGUGUAAGUGAUCACACCUUCAUGUAUCUUCAUGUAUUUCCAAGUACGGCAUCCUUUAGUAGAAAGAAAGACAGACAGACAAGAAAAAACUCAACUCUCAAUUCACUGUACAAAAUUUUCAUUUUUUUGUCUUUUCUUCCUUAAUGACAUACAACAGGGGACCCGUAAACAAAAAGAGAAAAGUCAUUUGAUACAAGCUAAAAUGCAGUUCAAAAAUAUAUAAUAAAACAAAAUUAAUAAAAAGCAGGUCUCUUAUCCCUUGUAGUUGGAGGAAAUUGUUUGAAUACAGCUUAAUAUGAUGUACAAAAUAUCACACAGUGAUAAAUUGCUAAUAAAAAAAUAAAAAACACAAAGAAAUGAGAGUUCUUUACCUUGGCCUCCGACUGGUAACAGAUUUUGUUUUUUUUAAAUCUUCUUUUCGUCUGUUUUUCGUGUUUUUUAAUCGUUUUGCUUUUUUACAAGUUUUACAUUGCCAUUAUCAAUCACAAGCAAGUUCUAUGCCUAGCAAGGAAGAAUGAUUCACUUAUGAUACUACAGUAUUCUUACAUCUUAAUAAUCAUAUUCAUAACCAAAGGAGAGAGAAAAAAAUGAAAGAAAACAAAGAAAUGAUGGACAUUUACAGCACAUAAUGGCAACUCUAACCAUCAUUUACAACCUCUGCUUCGAGUUCCUCUUGUUUUCCUCUUAUUGAUGAGUCACACUGAUUUGUCGUCAUUCUCAGACAGGGGACAUAGUAGCUCAGAGCGAGAAGAAAGUGUCAGUAACGCCCGCUGUCAUAUAACCGUGAACGGCAACAGUUCCACGUUUGUAGUAUUCGCUUCAGAUCGAAUACAUCGUUUCUGCACCCUGUCUAUCCUCUUGUAAUGUAAAGCAUUCACUUUUAGAUAUAGUGCAACAAGGGGUCAAAUAGUUAAUACGUGAUAAUAGGACGUCAUGCCCAGCAGCAGUAUAAUAAUGUAGUUGCCCCGUGUUGUUGUCUUUGACAGACUUGUGUCAAAGGAACAGCAGUGUGACAUCUUGUCUAAUUUCACACAACAGUCUUCCACUCUGUUUGGAGAGAAAAAAAAAAUCUCUCACUACAUAUAUAUAUAAAUGAACUAUGAAUGCUAGUGUCACCAGUGAUUAAAAGUGUUUAGCUCCAGCCAACUUUAACUCUUUCCCCCAUAAAGACAACAUCUGAUGACCUCCCCUGUAUUCUUAAUAAGAAGCUUUGCCGCCUCAGUACAUAUGGAUGCAGGUGUGGUUUGAUGACCUUUAGAAUAGUUCUGGGUUUUUCCAAGGGUAGCUGAAUAGGCAGAGACCACCCUCAUAAACUUCUGAUGCAAACUCAGUCAUUUUGUUCUAUAAGCAGGCCGCUCAGUCAGGAAAGCGCUUCAAGGGUUACCUCUAGUAGGCUUUCAAGGGGUAAAGAGUUAAGCUGUCAUCUGACCACCAGUGUGACACACAGUGUGUAAUCUUGAAGAGCUGACGCCUAACCGAGUGCAGAUUUUAGAGGUUUUCUAAAGGUAAUGAAAAAAUAAUCUGGGACGAGGUCAGCUGUGAAGAGGCAACUUAAAGCAAACAAACUGUCCUGUAGUCAACAGCACAAAUGCAGGACAUCAACAAACAUGGGUCUCAAAAUAAUGAUGCUUCCAGCUGAGCCAAAAGUUGACAGUUUACCUCCUAAACUGAGUCAGACGUCUUAAAUCAACACUUUUUUUGUAUGGCUGAAUUUAAAAUGGAGUAUUUGUUUAUUUUUUUUAAACCCGUCCAGCAUCCCUCUUCAGGAAGAGGACACACGCUUCACUAGAUUAGUUCUGCGGCUAAUGUGCUCCCUGUGUUCAUCAUUCAAGAAGAAGAAAUCCUCACCUCAUCACUCGAGUAAAGGUGAUGUCAGCCUUUUGUGAAAGCCCGAAUAAAUAAAAACAAUCACGAGACGCGAGCAGCCUGCAAAAAAAAACUGGCACCGACUUCAAAGAGACAAUCUCUCAUCCGAGCUCCUCCACUGUAAAAUAAUUACCAGCUCGAUGCACUGCUCGAGCCGGAGACACUCAAAGCCGACCAUAUGCACAUCCCUCUAAUGAAAAACAUAACUAGGAUGGACUGUCAAUUCUGAAAUUUGACCACAAUUAAUGAAAUGAUCCAACAGCGAAAUGUCACACGAAUGAUGAUUUUACUGAACGUACACGUGUGGACCAGUGAGAGAGAAACACUCACAAAACAUGUCCCUGAUUCUGACUCAAGACUGAUGAAGUCUUUCAUAGCACCGUGGUUGAACUAGUGCAUAUACAAACAUACACACACACUCACAUACACUCCUCUGUACAGUAAAAAGCACCAGACCAGCCUCGCACCUCUCUAGUCUACAGACUUUAACUAUGCUCAGUCAUAUCCAUCCUAAGCUGGUUCAUGCGGUGUGAGAGACUCUAUACGCACUGUACAUCUGUAGAAAUAAGUUUGUGAGAGUUAUCUAAGUGACAUCUAAUCUCACGCACACACACACACACACACAUACGUAGAGGCAGAAUCAUGGGGACGCUAUAGCAAUCAGACAUACAAUGAAACUAGGUUGUUCAAUCAACACUAUUCAGCUUUCUAGUGCCUCCUCACAGCACACACGACUAACUCAAACAUCCUCCAACACCACACACACAUCCUCCUCACCGAGUCUUUGGAAUGCAACACAUUGAUUCCCAAUGCAGAGGUUAGGUCAGGUGUUUUCCGUCAAUGCCGAGAACUGUUAUUCCUUUAAGUCAAGCCUACGUAUGUGUGUUAGCCACAAGCAAUGUUUCAACUGUUAAAAAAAAAAAGAAACAAUUUAAAAUCAAGUGUUUUCCCCUCGGCUCUCAGUGAAAUGCAAGCAUUGUGCAAGCACUUGAAGCGCACAAGCGUACACACAUAGUACUUUGUGAAAAGGAAAGGAAAAAAAAGAACAGAAUAUUGUAGUGUAGAAAAGUGUUACUCCAAAUAUGAUUACUUGAAAACAGAGCAGCCAGAGUUUGAAAGUUAUAAAAAAGCAUUACAAGAUGUGAUUAGUAUUACAAGAAGUCACUGAGGCAUUAGAGAACUGUGAGGAGUUUUCGGAGCGGAGGGGGAGGAAGUUGAUGGUUGACGUCCUGUGGCGAUGACCCAGCCAGUGGGGUGCAGGACUAAUUGUGUGUGUGUAUGUAUGAGCAGGUGAAAUGUAUCCACUGUAGUCUUCAGUCUUUUUUGGCCCAGUUAUUGAUGUAGGACU
ensembl:lncRNA